AGGAGAAGUUUCUUUACCUAAUGGCUCUAGAAUCGUUUUGGGGUUAUUUCAAAAGAAAUUCUCCAGAAGAAAGAUGUCUGUGUGAAUCUUUGGCCAUACUACCAAAAAUCCGCAUUAUUUUUAAAGUCAGAUUUCUGUGAAGACACAGACAGGCCAAAAAUAUGAAAUGGACCAGAGAAGAAAUCAAAGCACCAGCCAACACACUGUGUUUUGUUGGCCAACGUUAAAUAGCCUACAGGAGGGGCAUAACCAUUUCCUCAUUGACACAUGGGAUCAAAAUGGAAGUCAAACAACGUAUGGCCUAAUCAAUACUGGUGGUGGAAGAAAAUUCACAGGAGUUUCAGGCUGUGGUCAGAACUGUUCACACCUGAGCUGAGGUUCACUUUCAUUCAGUGAGGGCAUAGAAAUUUGAGAGAUCACACCCAGGAAAAAGG